rnacentral:rRNA from 1 species
UACGAAGGGGGGCUAGCGUUGUUCGGAAUUACUGGGCGUAAAGCGCGCGCAGGCGGUCUUCCAAGUCAGUGGUGAAAGCCCGGAGCUCAACUCCGGAAUUGCCAUUGAAACUGUUGGACUUGAGGAUGAGAGAGGUGAGUGGAAUUCCCAGUGUAGAGGUGAAAUUCGUAGAUAUUGGGAAGAACACCAAAGGCGAAAGCGCUCUGCUGGGCCGAAAAC